rnacentral:rRNA from 1 species
CCUACGGGAGGCAGCAGUGAGGAAUAUUGGUCAAUGGGCUUACGCCUGAACCAGCCAAGUCGCGUGAGGGAAGACUGCCCUAUGGGUUGUAAACCUCUUUUGUCAGGGAGCAAUUGGCGCUACGUGUAGCGUUAUCGAGAGUACCUGAAGAAAAAGCAUCGGCUAACUCCGUGCCAGCAGCCGCGGUAAUACGGAGGAUGCGAGCUUUAUCCGGAUUUAUUGGGUUUAAAGGGUGCGUAGGCGGAAUGCCAAGUCAGCGGUAAAAUCGCGGGGCUCAACCUCGCUCCGCCGUUGAAACUGGCGGUCUUGAGUGGGCGAGAAGUAUGCGGAAUGCGUGGUGUAGCGGUGAAAUGCAUAGAUAUCACGCAGAACUCCGAUUGCGAAGGCAGCAUACCGGCGCCCAACUGACGCUGAAGCACGAAAGCGUGGGUAUCGAACAGGAUUAGAUACCCGAGUAGUC